CCCUGUGACUGGGGGCUGCCAGGCAGGAGGCGUGGCUCCUGGUGUCUCCUCUGGCCGCUCUCCUCCCCAGGG
ensembl:miRNA